rnacentral:lncRNA from 1 species
UGUAAGAAAAUUAAUCAAGAAACAACGGUGUGGAUAUUAGCAUUGAAUGUUGUUUCUUUGUUAUUACAGAGAAACAAUUCUACCUAUUAUCUACCCAUAACCUGCACAAUAAAUAAGACAUUAUA